rnacentral:rRNA from 1 species
AUUGAACGCUGCGGCAGGCUUAACACAUGCAAGUCGAACGAUCGGCGGACGGGCGAGUAAUGCUUAGGUAUCUGCCUAUUAGUGGGGGCGAACAUCACGAUAGGGAUGCUUAUCUCGCACCCUAAUAGCUGCACCUUAGGCGGAUUAGCUAGUUGUUGGGGUAAAGGCUUACAAAGUCGACGACCUGUAGCGGGUCUGAGAGGAUAAUCGGCCACACUGGGACUGAGACACGGCCAAGACUCCUACGGGAGGCAGCAGUAGGGAAUAUGUGACAAUGGGGGGAACCCUGACCCAGCCAGGCCGCGUUAGUGAAGAAGGCCUUAGGGUUGUAAAGCACUGUAAGCGAGGAGGCGUUACUCGAAGAAUAAGCAACGGCUAACUACGUGCCAGCCGCCGCGGUAAUAC